GCCUCAGCCUCCGGAGCAGCUGGGAUUGCCGGCGCCCGCCACCACGCCCAGUUUCUCCUUCUCUCCUCUAUCCUGCCACUUUGUGAAGAAGGUGCUUGCUUCUCCUUCACCUUCCACCAUGAUUAAAAAUAGAAUAUAAAAACUUCUCUACUCCUGACUCACCAACGCACCAGAACAACUUUUAGUCCUGCAAUCAUGAAGCAUUCAUUGAACAUCAUCUACAUAUUAUCUUCACCCUGGAUGCUACAAAAACAAAGAAGUCAACACUAGUUUCAAUUUGUGGAAAGCUGGAAAUGCGAUGAUUCCCAUGCACUGAGUAUCUGCCCCAGACACCAGGUGGGGGCAUGGCAAUUGUGAUUGGAGUGAGGGGAGGGGUCAUCUUAUCCACCACAUCAGAAGCUGAGGUUAGGAUAUUGUGGCAAGAGAUGAAAAGUGAAGUGAUGCGAAGAAACUUCAUCCUGAAUUCAACUAAAGCCCUGGAAUACUUGUUCAAAUAACCAGCUGACAACUUGGGGUUAAGCUAUCUUGAAUUUAACCUGUUUAGCUCAGCCAAUACAAUUAUGAAAUAAAAAGUUAACAGUCUACUAUUUUGUAGUCUCUGGAUAAAGAGGCCUAAAUGGUAUCCUGUAAAGUUAUGCAGAGUACUAUCUGCAUAGAUCUAGUCAAUGACCUUGUCAAGUAGCAUCAUUUGGUUUCCAGCUUUAUGUGCAUCAGUUCUUCUUUAUAUGCAGUAGUUAAUUUAAUGCACCAUGUAUCUUAUCUCUAACUCCUUGGGA
rnacentral:lncRNA from 1 species